GAUGAACGCUGGCGGCGUGCCUAAUACAUGCAAGUCGAGCGAACAGACGAGGAGCUUGCUCCUCUGACGUUAGCGGCGGACGGGUGAGUAACACGUGGAUAACCUACCUAUAAGACUGGGAUAACUUCGGGAAACCGGAGCUAAUACCGGAUAAUAUAUUGAACCGCAUGGUUCAAUAGUGAAAGACGGUUUUGCUGUCACUUAUAGAUGGAUCCGCGCUGCAUUAGCUAGUUGGUAAGGUAACGGCUUACCAAGGCAACGAUGCGUAGCCGACCUGAGAGGGUGAUCAGCCACACUGGAACUGAGACACGGUCCAGACUCCUACGGGAGGCAGCAGUAGGGAAUCUUCCGCAAUGGGCGAAAGCUUGACGGAGCAACGCCGCGUGAGUGAUGAAGGUCUUCGGAUCGUAAAACUCUGUUAUUAGGGAAGAACAAAUGUGUAAGUAACUAUGCACGUCUUGACGGUACCUAAUCAGAAAGCCACGGCUAACUACGUG
rnacentral:rRNA from 1 species